AUAACAAAAUAUACAAAGAAUAAGCAGAACACUCGAGCCACGUGUUGCCUUCAGGUCCAUGUAUGUCAGUCCUCAACUGUGCUCAAUGUUUACUUCACUGCUGCUCUGGCUCGGUCCGUCCUCAUGUCUUCACUCUGUCCACGUUUAGGUGAGGUUUGGUCGUCUUCUACCUCACUGG